rnacentral:rRNA from 1 species
UAGGGAAUAUUGGACAAUGGGUGAGAGCCUGAUCCAGCCAUGCCGCGUGCAGGAAGAAGGCGUUAUGCGUUGUAAACUGCUUUUGCCAGGGGAUAAAAUGACCGUGCGCGGUUAAUUGAAGGUACCUGGUGAAUAAGCCACGGCUAACUACGUGCCAGCAGCCGCGGUAAUACGUAGGGUGCAAGCGUUAAUCGGAAUUACUGGGCGUAAAGCGUGCGCAGGCGGUUAUGCAAGACAGAUGUGAAAUCCCCGGGCUCAACCUGGGAACUGCAUUUGUGACUGUAUAGCUAGAGUACGGUAGAGGGGGAUGGAAUUCCGCGUGUAGCAGUGAAAUGCGUAGAUAUGCGGAGGAACACCGAUGGCGAAGGCAAUCCCCUGGACCUGUACUGACGCUCAUGCACGAAAGCGUGGGGAGCAAACAGGAUUAGAUACCCAUGUAGUCCCUGAGCGGGCUGGCAAGGCGCAU